GACGAACGCUGGCGGCGUGCUUAACACAUGCAAGUCGAACGGAAAGGCCCUGCUUUUGUGGGGUGCUCGAGUGGCGAACGGGUGAGUAACACGUGAGUAACCUGCCCUUGACUUUGGGAUAACUUAGGGAAACUGGGGCAAAUACCGGAUAGGAGCUCCUGCUGCAUGGGGGGGGUUGGAAAGUUUCGGCGGUGGGGGAUGGACUCGCGGCUUAUCAGCUUGUUGGUGGGGUAGUGGCUUACCAAGGCUUUGACGGGUAGCCGGCCUGAGAGGGUGACCGGCCACAUUGGGACUGAGAUACGGCCCAGACUCCUACGGGAGGCAGCAGUGGGGAAUAUUGCACAAUGGGCGGAAGCCUGAUGCAGCAACGCCGCGUGCGGGAUGACGGCCUUCGGGUUGUAAACCGCUUUCGCCUGUGACGAAGCGUGAGUGACGGUAAUGGGUAAAGAAGCACCGGCUAACUACGUG
rnacentral:rRNA from 1 species